rnacentral:lncRNA from 1 species
CUACAUGCAUUUUAUGCAUCAGCAGUGCAUAGUGGUAGGCUGCACGCACAAUUAGGGCUUUAUGACUUUUGAAGUCACCUAAUACAAAGAUUUAUGUAUUUGCAGCAAUAAAAACCUGUGAUGGGGAUGGAUGUUUUGCAGACCUACAGCCUGAUUCUCCUUUGUGCGGUCUUGGUUUAGCUCCACUGCCUGCAGUGGCACCAAUCCUCACACCACCUGAGCGCCACAAGAACAGAAGAAGGAAACCCACCCCCAGUGCAAGCCUGGGGAGGUUGGAUCCCGCAUAGCUCACUCUUAUUUCAGACCGUAGCCCUGCGCAGAGUGGGCCUGGCAACAGGAAGGAAACCUUGCAGGAUGCUCCUUGCACCGAGCAGCUCAUGCAGCAUUGUCACCGUGUCGUGGGGGCUUCCAGGGCACCAAAAGCACAGGUGUGUGCAUGGAAGUGAAGGGAACGUAAGCUUUCGAUGAGGAGCCGGGUUAAUGGAUACUGAAGAUGGUGGUGGUAGGGAGAAUGGUAAAGGAAAAUUCAGGAGCUGGUUUUACCUCUUUCAGUUUUGAAGGCUCCUAGGCAAAAUGGCUCAGAGCCGUCCAGCUAUGGGGAAAAAAAAAGGGAAAAAAAAAGAGAAUCCUUUUGCAUAGGUUUUGAUUUGUUGUGUUUGUUGGGGGUUUUUUUCAUGACGAUGGGAAACAGAGCGUAGCCAAACUCCUGACAUUUCAUGAGUUAUAAAUAUUGUACAAAAUUAUACUUCUGGCACCAGAAAAUGCUUUCUCCUGUUGUUCAAAGUGACUCCAGAUGCUGAUGUAUUUAGUGUACUGCGCAAGCACGCGGACCGGAAUGAAAAAGCGAAGUAAAUGAGUUUACAUUCAUCUGUCAAUAUUCCUAAGGGACGGCCUGUUCAGGCUGCCAAGUCUGCUCUGCGUAUGCGUGCAUAACUUCAGCGGGCCAGAGAUUCCCACAGUGGAAUCUCCUCCAUGAGCAGGGGCGCUCUGCCGCCGCAACCUGGUGGAGGUGGUGACCGCUCCCCUUCUGAGUGUCCUCCAUCUCCUGCAGGAUUGGCAGAAAGAGCUUUCCAAAGGACCUGGGCAUUUUACGUUUUAAAUAGCUAUAUGUUUCACUGACUGCUGUCCCUCACUUGAGACAGUCCCAUGAAAAGGGAUUUUGACUAUACAAACAGCAGCAAUUUCCAUCCCAAACGCUGGAGUGAUUUGAUGCCCAUGAAAAAAGCAAACAAGGCACAUGUGAGAGAAGAAGCUGCUGUGGCCAAUGUCCAGCAUAUGUUGGAAACACAUGGAAGAAAGAAGAAAAGAUGAGAGAAUUCAAGAGAUGAAGCGUCAAUGGAAUCGUGAAGGCUGGAAAAGACCGCUAAGUUCAUCUAGUCUUCACCAUCAGCCCAUCCCCAGAAUGCCCACUAACCCAUGUCCCUCAGUGCCAAUGAGAGAGGCAAGCGGUGAGAAAGGGUCCCUGGCCUGGCACACGUGUGUUCUCACAGACUCGUCCACGACACCGCCGAACUGCAGACUUUCCCACAGGAUGCAUGCCUCAUGCUGUACAACAGGAUAAUCACGCCCAGUGGCAGAAAUAAAUUAGCAUAGCAAUCUCAAUCUGGUAUUUCCUAAUUUUCCUAAUCUCCUUCUCCUUCAGUGUUCAGCUGUGCUAAUCUAAGCAAUAUUCUUUUACAGUAAUUUCUGGACUUUGCCAUUUAAAUAUAUGUAUACGUGUUUGUGUAUCUCUCCAUCUGUCUGUGUCUGUUAAUGUAUUGGUAAACACAAAAGAAAAAGAUAAAAGCCGUUUGUUUUUAAUUCUUUCUGAACCCUUUGAUCCCUCCUUGCUUGUUUUAGCAGCUGCCCGACUGUUUUUUCUCGUAUGUAAACUUCAAAGUCACUCAGAGGUCAAAGCUUGGAUGAAGACAGACCGAGGAGAACAGCAGCGGUGAGAACACGCAGUGCGGAGAAGCCGGGGAUGUCGGUGGCAGCACAUCGCCUCCAUCGAGGUGCUGGGGAGAUGACCUACGUCUUCGACGUGGCAUGCCAUGAUCUGAGCGUCUGAUGUGGUUGUUGAGGCUUCUGUGCUCACUGGGAAAUUGUCUCGCAGAGGAGCGAAGGGCACGGCCAUGCUCUGGCGGACUUGACAUUCACUGGCUGGUCUUGGUUCAGGCAGUCUGGAAAUAGCUAAAUAGAUCACCGUGAAAAUACUGGAGAAAAACAGCUUUUUCAUGGUUUGUGUUGAAUGCAGAGGGCUUCGGGGUUGGGUGCAAGUUCGGAUAGCACUUACAAUAGCACUGAAAUUAUUUCCCACAGAUGUAUUAGCUUGCAUUUGUUGCUUCUUCCACUUCCACAGUAAAUUCCCACAGGCACUGUGGGAAGAGAGCAUCCUUCUGUAGUGCUGGGCCUCCCCACCAGGGCUAAGAAGGGUUUCAGGCUUAGGAAGUACUUGAAACGCUCCCGAUACAAGGAGCACAUCUAAUGUGUGCCUUGUUGUCCCUUGUUAACAUAACCAGAAGCCACAUUGCUCUCUGCUGCUUCUCACUCAACAACCUUUUUCUGCUGGUUCCGGGCCACUUAGCAUCAUUCUUUUCCUUAAUGAGUUUCACAUCAGUUCUCAUUUUAGCUGAGAGAAAUAAUUUUUGGGCCAGUUUCAAUGAGUUUUGCAAGAAUUAAAGUGAUACUCACUUUUUCAUUAGUGACUCUUUACCACUAACACAGCUCUGCUUACUCCUGAUUUCCGUGCCUCUACGCGUUAAUGCAAAAGCAGAGAAGGAAAAAAACAAAAACACAGCGAGAGAAAAGAAAGAAAAAGUGUUAAUGUGGGAAGAGAAAGCAAAAGUGUGAAGUGGCUCUGUGAAGAGCCACGUGGGUGCAAAGAGAAGCGACAGGGACGCAGGGAAAAGCAGCUGGAAAGCAGGAGUGUGGAGAAAAAUGAGGCUAGGAGGAGGGGUAAAGGGGAGCAGGAGUGGGAGCGGGGAGAUUAAGGAUGGUCCCAAGGGAUGGGGUAACGGGCAGGAAGGAAAGCCAAAUAAGGAGCACAGAGUCAUGUAGUUUAUGCGGUGAGAACAAGAGAUGGCCUUAACAGCAGCACUUUGCAGUGCUGGCGAACUGCAUGAUGUGUACUCAGCUUGGAGUAGCUGUCCUGGCUCUUCAGGAGGCGGCCUAGGAAAGAAGAUUAUGGCUUCAUUUGAAUCAAUUCCUAACCCGGAGUCUCUCCCUAUAAAGGAUGCUAUAAAGGAUGAGUAUCGUGUUGCACUGAAUGACAACUGGAGUGCGUUGGGGUUUGUGCAUUGUCACUGAUUCUAAUGCCUUUUGUGUUGAGCCUGCUGAAAACAAAGGUCAAGUACCAGCACAUUCUGCUUUCUGUGAGAGAUUUAAUUAAAUCCGAAGGACAAAGGCAGGGUACUAGAAACCACCACCAGUGGGAAAGAUGCUUCAUUUUGUAUUACUAUUUUUCAAUAUCAGUUUGUCCGUAGCUGCUUUGUAAUGCUGUCUUAUUUUAUUUUGGUGCGAUGACAGGAGAAUAAACAUUUAAAUAUC